GUUUUGAUUGCACAGCGAAAUCAGCGUGUAAAUUCCAUAAUAUGUCACAAAUAUCCUGUGAGCUAAGCUUUUCAAAAACGCCAUCAGAUGCUGCCACCAAAUAGCAGUCGUUGUCUGUCAAAGGUUGCCAAUCAGUGACUUCAGGAGCAGAUAUAACACCAUAACUUUUAAAAUAAACAUCACCUAUUGCUCUAGAAACAGCCAAUUGACCAUUAACCCUAGCUACGCCACCCCACUUAGAAACAUGUCCUCCUGCAGUCUCCACUCGAGACCUCUCAUCAUCCCUAUCUGGAUGGUGGUCUCUAGUCAGUUCCUUAGCAAUCAGAAAAGGCCACUGGUCAGGAGCUGCCAACUUGAAGCUUCG
rnacentral:misc_RNA from 1 species